UGGGGAAUAUUGGGCAAUGGGCGCAAGCCUGACCCAGCAACGCCGCGUGAAGGAAGAAGGCCCUCGGGUUGUAAACUUCUUUUAACAGGGACGAAGAAAGUGACGGUACCUGUUGAAUAAGCCACGGCUAACUACGUGCCAGCAGCCGCGGUAAUACGUAGGCGGCAAGCGUUAUCCGGAUUUACUGGGUGUAAAGGGCGUGUAGGCGGGACUGCAAGUCAGAUGUGAAAACCAUGGGCUCAACCCAUGGCCUGCAUUUGAAACUGUAGUUCUUGAGUGUUGGAGAGGCAGGCGGAAUUCCGUGUGUAGCGGUGAAAUGCGUAGAUAUACGGAGGAACACCAGUGGCGAAGGCGGCCUGCUGGACAAUAACUGACGCUGAGGCGCGAAAGCGUGGGGAGCAAACAGGAUUAGAUACC
rnacentral:rRNA from 1 species